AGAUUCAGCCAGAGAAUCAAAACAAAGGAGAUCUAGCCAGAAGAUCAAAGAAGAUCUAGCCCGAAGACCGAAAAUAGAUUCAUCCAGAGAAUCCAAAUCGUAUCCAGCCCGAGGAUCAAAAUUAACAUCCAACCAGAGGACUAAAUUGAGUAUAGAUUAAGCCAGAGGAUCGAAACUCCAGAUUAAGUCAGAAGACUGAUUCAGAUUCAGCCAGAGGAUCAGAAGAGAAAUAAACAGCGCGGUGUAUUUUAGCAUUUUUGUGGUGUUCUCGGAGCGCAAAUUUUUGGUCUGUCUUUGGUAUUCAAUCACAGCUCACCCUGUUUGUCUGAUAAGCUGUUCGCUUUCAUCCUGCUCAGGUUAGCUGAUGACUGAAUAGGGGCAGCUGUAACACCCUAAAAUUUGCCCUCCUC
rnacentral:lncRNA from 1 species